CAAAAUUCCUCAUUCGUAUGUUUAGCAAUUAGUACUGCAGUAGAAGAUCCCAAUUUGUAGUUGUCAGCGGGAAAGUAGAAUUACUUCGAUCACCUAAUAGAGCUUAGUAUCCAAGUGAACUGGUGUCAGUGUCCUGCUUGUAGCAUACAACCAUAGUGGCUCUGAUGUCCAAGACAAGAAACGAUGCCAAUAGCACAAACACUGUCGGAGUGCCUCACAAUUUCUGCAAAUAAAGAAAUCAGAUCAAGCUCAAACAACACUAUUUGAAUGACAAAUGAAUUGCGUUGCAUCAAUUUGAAUCACGCCAUCUCGGUGAUGAACGUUUCAGAAUCUCUUUUUUUUUUCUUUCUGAAAAUUGAAUGCUUUCUUGGCAUGGUGCAUUGGCCUGCCUCCCUUUCAGCUCCUUUUACCUAUGAAUAGAGCCUACAGAGGUGUAGACCUGUCCAAUUUAGCUAGAUUUUUCAUUUCUUUUUUUUUUUUGAAAGAUUGGAUUUUUCAUUUCUGGACCCAACAGCUGAUCUUGAACAAGACAGGUUCCUAGUACCAACAGAAACUGCAUUUACCCAACAGCAAUCACUGGUACAAACUAUUAUCUGAUGGGCCUAAAAUACAAAUUAAACAAGGUUGUGAAUUUUAUCCACUUUUCUUAUUAACUAGAAAGUGACAGCCAACUCGCUAAGCUUGAAUUGCUCCUAGAGCUAGUGGACUGUCACAUAUAAUCUGCUUUUCUCUCCUUCAAGUGAUAGUGUGGUACAGUUAAACCAUUUGCAUAUUCAGCCAAACUGAAUAUUUCAGGACACUUCAUUGACAACUAAUGGUCAAGAUAACUGGUGAUUUGUUACGUUCAAAACAAAUAACUGAUGAUUUGUCAUAGUAAGCAAGAUCCCCAUUUGCAGUCGACAACAGCAAAACGAAAUUACCUUGAGCAUCUGACAGAGCUUCUUAUCCCAAGUGAACCGGUGCCCAGCUUAGAGAACAGGCAGCAGCGUUGGCUUCGAUCUGAUGUCCAGGUUGAAAAGGCGAGAAGAAACGAUGCAGACAGGACGAACGCUGUUGGACGGGUACACACUCAACACUUUCUCCCGCCUCGUCCAGCCCAUCAUCCGCAAUUCACCCUCUCCGUUUCGUCCUC
rnacentral:lncRNA from 1 species